CCAGUUUUGAAAAAAAAACAACAGAAGAGACAAUAUCAGGUUACAGGGUUCAGGGAAUAUAGGCACAAACAAGGGAAAGGGGAAUGGGGACAAGUAAUUUCAAUGUGAGAACACAAUUACACAUACACAGACAUCAAAGAGAAGCUCUUCAGAACUUAACUAAUUAGGCAGGUUUCAACCAAAAAGAUCAGGACUACAUGCUGAUAAUUGUACUG
rnacentral:lncRNA from 1 species